AAUGACUUGCUUCCACCAUGAUUUUGCAUGUUAUGAGCUAGUUGAUGAUGCUGCUCUUGGAAAUGCCAUCUCUUCUGCUGAUGAGACAGUAGGUGCUUGACAAAGACAGGCUGAUGUUGAUGUUACCUUUGAAGCAUUUCCUUUGCCGACCAGACGCUCGUUGAACUUUCUUCAACUGGGAGUAAAGAAACUGUUGGGAGAGACAUGAGAAAGUGCUUGAACUGCUGAGAAUUUCCAGCAUUUUCUGUUCAUGUUUCAGAUCCACCGUGUUCACACAGUAUUUUGCCUCUGAAGUCAUCUUGUUUGGCUAUUAGUGAACAGAACAGCAGUGGAUUCUGGUUUGUUCCCACAAAACUGAUGGAGGCAGGGUGUCAGCCAAGACCCAAAUGAAUCAUGAAUAUUCCAGUACAAGAGCAAAUGAACAGUAGCUCAUGAGAGAGGUCUUCAAGCAUCUGACAAGGAAAAUGAAAACUCAGAAUUUUGGCUUUGGAAUUAUACCAGUGAAUGAUCCCUUAAAAACUGUAACCUUUUCUUUAUAUCAUUUCAUAACAGAUUUCCAGUGGUGAGGAAGGCACGUAGCAUGUGUGCCUUAAUUGCAAAGGCAUUAAGUACAAGGUUUAAUAUCAAGUUAUAGUCAUACAGAACGGUGGUUAGGCUCUACUUGGAAUGUUGUGUGCAGUUCUAAUUGCUACACUAUAGGAAGGAUGUGAUUAAGCUAGAGAGGGCAUAAAAAGGAUUCACAGGGAAUUUGCCGGGAAUGGCGGACUUGAGUUAUAAGGAGAGUUUGGGUAGGCUGUAUCUUUUUUUCCCCUGAAGUGAAAGAAGCUGAGAGGUGAUGUAAUUGAGGAAUAUAAAAUUAUGGGUGGCAUGAAUAGGGGAGAUGGCCUGCAUCUUUCUCCCAUUAGUAGGAAUUAAUAAGUUUAUUGUUAUGCAUAUAAGUGAACUUCUUGUUCGCAUGAAGCUUACAGCUUAAAUAGUAAGACCUUUAGACCAUAAGACAUAGCAGAAUUAAGCCAUUUGGCCCAUUGAGCCUGCACCACUGUCCCAUCAAUAAUGACUGAUCUAUUAUCCCUCUCAACCCCAUUUUAACACCCUGACUAAUCAAGAACCUAUUAACCACUUUAAAUAUACUCAAUGACCUAGCCUCCACAGGUAUCUGUGGCAAUGAAUUCUACAGAUUCACCACCCCCUGUCUAAAAAAAAAUCCUCUUAAUCUCUGUUUUAAAUUGAUGUCCUUUUAUUCUAAGGCUCUUCUGGUCGUGCACUAUAGGAGACAUCCUUUCCUGCUGUCAAGGCCUUUCAAUAUUUGAUUGGUUUCAAUGAGACACCCCCCCCCCCCACCAUUCUUCUAAACUCCAGUGAGCUCAGGCCCUGUAUGCAUGGUAAUGAUAAAUACAAAAAUAAUUACAAAGAGAACAAAAUAGCAGAAUGUGGUGCAGUCUGAAUUUGUGUAAAAACAGAAUGUUUAAGUAAGAAGCUUCCUUAGGUUUGGACUUCCAGGAGUUGAAGAUCCUUCAUGUUUUUCCAGAAGGCAGACAAAAUAAAAGGGAAUGGCCAAGAUGGCAAGCAUCCCUUAUCAAUACACCAGCCUACCGGAUGGACUGAAUGAAAGGAAAUGAUAUCCUCAUAUCCAAGAUGGUGGCGUGAUGCAGCUUGCAACGGCCACUCCGGAGCUGAUUAUCUGUUACUUGUGAAACAGGGUGCCGUGUGCAAUCAUAAUCGGAUGAAAAACGGACAUGGGAGCAUGGAGGAACAUCUGGGACAUCUGGAAAUCUCCAGGAAGAUCUUCUUCGUUGCUGCUGCUGCUAUGAGGUCCGGGUCUCUGCUGGGAAGAACAGGCCCCUAGUCCUUGGGGUUGCAUUGCCAUUGGCUGUUGGCGGGGGCGUCUUAAUACGCUCAGCAGAGGAUGGUGCUUGGAGAAGCUGUGCCGGAGGGGAUGGUCGGAGGCUUGGAGGUUCAAAGGACUCGGAGUCCGCUGUGGUCGGAGCGCUUUCACUGAGUGCUGUGUCUGUGAGGCUGGGUUUGAUGGAGCUUUCAUUGUGUGCUGUGUCUGCGAGGCGGAGUCAGGCCGCGCUGUGGAAGUUCAUAGCGGGGGUAUUCCCUUCUGCCGCCGGCGUGGGAUGACGAGUCUAUUGGGACCCUGAGGACUUGUGGAAACUGUCUGGUGAUUUCUUUUGAACUUAUGAUCUUUUAACAUCUUUGGACUAUUUUUACUGUGCCCAUGGUCUGUUUUUUUUAAUCAAUUAUGCAAUUGUUAGCACUGUUGUAAUUAUAUGUUGUAACUAUGGUUUUGUGCAGGUCUUGUAGCUUUAGUUUUUGGUCUUGUUUUGUCUGGUGGGAUUGGAGCUCCUUUCCGGGGAACGCACUGAGACGGUAGCGUGAUAUUAAUAUGCAGCAGCCUCUCCAGACUCUGUUUUGGGGAUUGCCAAACAUUAUGCGGAUUUUCUGGCCUAGUCUGUUUUGUCGUGUGCUUUUGUGAUAUCAUUCUGGGGGAACAUUGUCUCAUUUUUUAACUGCAUUGCAUUUGUGGUUUCUAAAUGACAACAAACUGAAUCUGAAUCUGAAUGACGAGCCUGUGAUGGACUGAAAUGUGUGCUUACCACUCUCUGCAGGUUCAGAUGGCAAACAGAGCAGAGCAGUUACCUUAGCAGGUUGUAAUGCAACCCCUCAGAAUUAUUUCUGUUGCACGAGUGUAGAAAUUUGAGAGAGCCCUUGCAGACACGCUCAGUCUUCUCAGAUGCCUGAGAUGUGAUAAUCACCCUUCUUGAUCACUGAUCUUGAACAAUGUUCUGACACAUAGGCACAACGUUUUCAAUUUCUUUUCUGGACUCCAUCUCAUCAUUAUUGUUGAUGCAUCUGAUAACAGUGGCAUCAUCUGUGAACUUAAAGGUUGAGCUGUGUUAUACCUGACGUUCACAGUCACAGAUAUAGAGGGAGUAGAGCUGAGAACUGGGCUCACAACCCUGAGGUGUUCUAGUGUUGAAGGACAGGGAGGAUGAAGUAUUAUGGUCAAUUCUAACUGACUGGGGUCCACCAGUCAGGAACUUUAUCUGGAAGACAAGUGCUGGUGAGGGCCUUUACUAGUCUUUCAAAGCACUUCAUUGUUGCUCUAUGUUAGAGCUACUGGUCAUUGAGACAAGACACCUUUCAUGGGGAAUGAAAUUAAAUGUUCGGUUGAACCAGAUGGCGAUGGUUGACUGGUGAAGUGAGAGAUUGAAGAGGUCAGCAAAGACAGUGACCAGAUGACUGGAGCCUGUGCAUGUCAACAAGCAAAGGGGAGGUGGGUGAAUGGAUUAAGACAUCGAUGGAAAAUCAUUGGUUGAGUUUACACUCAGAAGGUCAAAGACAAGAGCCUUUAGGAGUAUCCCCAAAUAGAGCAUAGCAUUAAUUUUACUCAGCUCUGCAUAGAUCUGAGCUGAGGCUGGGGCCUGCUCCAGCUGCACCAGGCUUUGUGUCUAUGGACUCAUUUUGUUCUGAAUGCUAUUUGCUUACUUUUAUUAUUUGCACGAUUUGUUUUUUUUUGGUUUGAUGGUGUCCUUGUGGGUUCUUUUGCGUUUGCCUGUAAGGAGCUGAAUCUCAAUGUUGUAUA